GAAUCGCACCACUGUCCCAUAGAACAGUGUCAGAUUCUGGAGCCACCGUGUCAGAUUCCCUCUUUCUCCCUGCUGUAUCCUAUGGUUGAGAAGCAGUGCUGGGAAAGCUCCAGUCCUUCACCACACCUACAUUCAUCCUCAGAGAUCCACAACCUGAGUGCCCAGGAAGUUAAUCACAGAUUGGCCUGGUCCUGUUGCAGUUUAUCUGCUGAGAACUUUCAGCCACACAUGAUAUUGCUUGGAGUCCUGGGGUGCUCCAGAAGAGGGUAUCUCCAGUUACAAGACAAACAUAAAGCACUUCCUUGUGUAAUAUUCCACAGAGAUGGCAGACCAUUUGCUGAAACAUCUCUGAUAGGGUGUCUGCUGCAGGUUGAAAUAUUUCAGCUUAUAACGGAGCAAUUUCUUCAAUGUAACUUUCCACCUUGGCAACAGCUGGAGACACCCAAGUAUGUAAAGGACAAGAAAACAAGGCAAGU